rnacentral:rRNA from 1 species
GGUUAAGCGACUAAGCGUACACGGUGGAUGCCCUGGCAGUCAGAGGCGAUGAAGGACGUGCUAAUCUGCGAUAAGCGUCGGUAAGGUGAUAUGAACCGUUAUAACCGGCGAUUUCCGAAUGGGGAAACCCAGUGUGAUUCGUCACACUAUCAUUAACUGAAUCCAUAGGUUAAUGAGGCGAACCGGGGGAACUGAAACAUCUAAGUACCCCGAGGAAAAGAAAUCAACCGAGAUUCCCCCAGUAGCGGCGAGCGAACGGGGAGCAGCCCAGAGCCUGAAUCAGUGUGUGUGUUAGUGGAAGCGUCUGGAAAGGCGUGCGAUACAGGGUGACAGCCCCGUACACAAAAAUGCACAUAUUGUGAGCUCGAUGAGUAGGGCGGGACACGUGGUAUCCUGUCUGAAUAUGGGGGGACCAUCCUCCAAGGCUAAAUACUCCUGACUGACCGAUAGUGAACCAGUACCGUGAGGGAAAGGCGAAAAGAACCCCGGCGAGGGGAGUGAAAAAGAACCUGAAACCGUGUACGUACAAGCAGUGGGAGCACGCUUAGGCGUGUGACUGCGUACCUUUUGUAUAAUGGGUCAGCGACUUAUAUUCUGUAGCAAGGUUAACCGAAUAGGGGAGCCGAAGGGAAACCGAGUCUUAACUGGGCGUUAAGUUGCAGGGUAUAGACCCGAAACCCGGUGAUCUAGCCAUGGGCAGGUUGAAGGUUGGGUAACACUAACUGGAGGACCGAACCGACUAAUGUUGAAAAAUUAGCGGAUGACUUGUGGCUGGGGGUGAAAGGCCAAUCAAACCGGGAGAUAGCUGGUUCUCCCCGAAAGCUAUUUAGGUAGCGCCUCGUGAAUUCAUCUCCGGGGGUAGAGCACUGUUUCGGCAAGGGGGUCAUCCCGACUUACCAACCCGAUGCAAACUGCGAAUACCGGAGAAUGUUAUCACGGGAGACACACGGCGGGUGCUAACGUCCGUCGUGAAGAGGGAAACAACCCAGACCGCCAGCUAAGGUCCCAAAGUCAUGGUUAAGUGGGAAACGAUGUGGGAAGGCCCAGACAGCCAGGAUGUUGGCUUAGAAGCAGCCAUCAUUUAAAGAAAGCGUAAUAGCUCACUGGUCGAGUCGGCCUGCGCGGAAGAUGUAACGGGGCUAAACCAUGCACCGAAGCUGCGGCAGCGACACUAUGUGUUGUUGGGUAGGGGAGCGUUCUGUAAGCCUGUGAAGGUGUACUGUGAGGUAUGCUGGAGGUAUCAGAAGUGCGAAUGCUGACAUAAGUAACGAUAAAGCGGGUGAAAAGCCCGCUCGCCGGAAGACCAAGGGUUCCUGUCCAACGUUAAUCGGGGCAGGGUGAGUCGACCCCUAAGGCGAGGCCGAAAGGCGUAGUCGAUGGGAAACAGGUUAAUAUUCCUGUACUUGGUGUUACUGCGAAGGGGGGACGGAGAAGGCUAUGUUGGCCGGGCGACGGUUGUCCCGGUUUAAGCGUGUAGGCUGGUUUUCCAGGCAAAUCCGGAAAAUCAAGGCUGAGGCGUGAUGACGAGGCACUACGGUGCUGAAGCAACAAAUGCCCUGCUUCCAGGAAAAGCCUCUAAGCAUCAGGUAACAUCAAAUCGUACCCCAAACCGACACAGGUGGUCAGGUAGAGAAUACCAAGGCGCUUGAGAGAACUCGGGUGAAGGAACUAGGCAAAAUGGUGCCGUAACUUCGGGAGAAGGCACGCUGAUAUGUAGGUGAAGUCCCUCGCGGAUGGAGCUGAAAUCAGUCGAAGAUACCAGCUGGCUGCAACUGUUUAUUAAAAACACAGCACUGUGCAAACACGAAAGUGGACGUAUACGGUGUGACGCCUGCCCGGUGCCGGAAGGUUAAUUGAUGGGGUUAGCGCAAGCGAAGCUCUUGAUCGAAGCCCCGGUAAACGGCGGCCGUAACUAUAACGGUCCUAAGGUAGCGAAAUUCCUUGUCGGGUAAGUUCCGACCUGCACGAAUGGCGUAAUGAUGGCCAGGCUGUCUCCACCCGAGACUCAGUGAAAUUGAACUCGCUGUGAAGAUGCAGUGUACCCGCGGCAAGACGGAAAGACCCCGUGAACCUUUACUAUAGCUUGACACUGAACAUUGAGCCUUGAUGUGUAGGAUAGGUGGGAGGCUUUGAAGUGUGGACGCCAGUCUGCAUGGAGCCGACCUUGAAAUACCACCCUUUAAUGUUUGAUGUUCUAACGUGGACCCGUAAUCCGGGUUGCGGACAGUGUCUGGUGGGUAGUUUGACUGGGGCGGUCUCCUCCUAAAGAGUAACGGAGGAGCACGAAGGUUGGCUAAUCCUGGUCGGACAUCAGGAGGUUAGUGCAAUGGCAUAAGCCAGCUUGACUGCGAGCGUGACGGCGCGAGCAGGUGCGAAAGCAGGUCAUAGUGAUCCGGUGGUUCUGAAUGGAAGGGCCAUCGCUCAACGGAUAAAAGGUACUCCGGGGAUAACAGGCUGAUACCGCCCAAGAGUUCAUAUCGACGGCGGUGUUUGGCACCUCGAUGUCGGCUCAUCACAUCCUGGGGCUGAAGUAGGUCCCAAGGGUAUGGCUGUUCGCCAUUUAAAGUGGUACGCGAGCUGGGUUUAGAACGUCGUGAGACAGUUCGGUCCCUAUCUGCCGUGGGCGCUGGAGAAUUGAGGGGGGCUGCUCCUAGUACGAGAGGACCGGAGUGGACGCAUCACUGGUGUUCGGGUUGUCAUGCCAAUGGCACUGCCCGGUAGCUAAAUGCGGAAGAGAUAAGUGCUGAAAGCAUCUAAGCACGAAACUUGCCCCGAGAUGAGUUCUCCCUGACUCCUUGAGAGUCCUGAAGGAACGUUGAAGACGACGACGUUGAUAGGCCGGGUGUGUAAGCGCAGCGAUGCGUUGAGCUAACCGGUACUAAUGAACCGUGAGGCUUAACCUU